GGUGAUGUAGCUCAGUCGGUUAGAGCGAUGGAUUCAUAACCCAUAGGUCGGUGGUUCAAUUCCACCCAUCACCACCA
rnacentral:tRNA from 13 species